AAUAAUAUAUCAUCUAAGGGCAAACAGACCAAGGUCCAGCAGAAAUGGUGAGUGAGACUCAUGGGCUGAAAGAAUGCUCUAGGUAGAAGAAAAUUCAUGUGUGAAUAUUAAAACCAAAGGGCAGAGUCUAGCUUCUUCAAGAGACUGAAAGUUUUUUCAAAAUGACUGGAAUAUAUGGAGAGUACAAGAUCAUGAUUGCUUAGAGAUAAGCUGGACAGGAUUGGCAUAGCCGUGCUGAGCACCAUGGCACACGGACUCCUACUGGCGCCAUCCCAGCCCUGGGAGCUAUAGCAUGAAGAUCAAGUUUUUGGAGUUUGCUCUAAUGAGAGAUUUCCUAUUGGAUCCAGGCCACAGUGAUGGUCUAGGAAGAUGCCAGGAGAAAAGAUUCAACCACACUUGAUGGAUUGCAAAAAUGACCCCAAAUCUUUAUUCCUUAGAGACUAGUGGACCAUGUUAGGAACACCUAGGUGCUUUA